rnacentral:rRNA from 1 species
UCGUAACAAGGUUUCCGUAGGUGAACCUGCGGAAGGAUCAUUAUCGAGUUUUGACUGGGUUGUAGCUGGCCUUCCGAGGCAUGUGCACGCCCUGCUCAUCCACUCUACACCUGUGCACUUACUGUGGGUAUCAGAUCGUGAAGCGUGCUCUUUUACYGGAGCUUGUGAAGCGUGUCUGUGCCUGCGUUUAUCACAAACACUAUAAAGUAUCAGAAUGUGUAUUACGAUGUAACGCAUCUAUAUACAACUUUCAGCAACGGAUCUCUUGGCUCUCGCAUCGAUGAAGAACGCAGCGAAAUGCGAUAAGUAAUGUGAAUUGCAGAAUUCAGUGAAUCAUCGAAUCUUUGAACGCACCUUGCGCUCCUUGGUAUUCCGAGGAGCAUGCCUGUUUGAGUGUCAUGAAAUCUUCAACCUAUAAGCUUUUGUGGUUUGUAGGCUUGGACUUGGAGGCUUGUCGGCCUUGAUYGGUCGGCUCCUCUUAAAUGCAUUAGCUUGAUUCCUUGCGGAUCGGCUCUCGGUGUGAUAAUAUCUACGCCGCGACCGUGAAGCGUUUGGCGAGCUUCUAACCGUCUCACUUGAGAGACAACUUUAUGACCUCUGACCUCAAAUCAGGUAGGACUACCCGCUGAACUUAAGCAUAUCA